rnacentral:rRNA from 1 species
UACGAAGGGGGCUAGCGUUGCUCGGAAUUACUGGGCGUAAAGGGCGCGUAGGCGGACAGUUUAGUCAGAGGUGAAAGCCCAGGGCUCAACCUUGGAAUAGCCUUUGAUACUGGCUGUCUUGAGUUCGGGAGAGGUGAGUGGAAUGCCGAGUGUAGAGGUGAAAUUCGUAGAUAUUCGGCGGAACACCAGUGGCGAAGGCGACUCACUGGCCCGAUACUGACGCUGAGGCGCGAAAGCGUGGGGAGCAAACAGG